rnacentral:lncRNA from 1 species
CGGAUAGGUCAAAUGAUGGAGAAGCAACAUUCAAGAACCUACUGACAUAUGGUUACCAUAUAAUUCAUCUCUUUGAUCCUAAUGUUCAAAGAUGACCUAGGAUUUAACUAUCAAUCCUAGAUAAAUUAUCCAUAUUGUAUUUCAAUCUUUCAAAUCUAUCACAUGGAUUACUUGAGAUCAGAGUUUGCUAAAUUGAAAUGCAUUGAUACAUUAACUCCUACUAAUUUGGAGGAAUCAAUCCCAUCUUGACUCAUACACCGACUU